GAUGAACGCUGGCGGCGUGCCUAAUACAUGCAAGUCGAGCGAACGGACGAGAAGCUUGCUUUUCUGAUGUUAGCGGCGGACGGGUGAGUAACACGUGGAUAACCUACCUAUAAGACUGGGAUAACUUCGGGAAACCGGAGCUAAUACCGGAUAAUAUUUUGAACCGCAUGGUUCAAAAGUGAAAGACGGUCUUGCUGUCACUUAUAGAUGGAUCCGCGCUGCAUUAGCUAGUUGGUAAGGUAACGGCUUACCAAGGCAACGAUGCAUAGCCGACCUGAGAGGGUGAUCGGCCAAACUGGAACUGAGACACGGUCCAGACUCCUACGGGAGGCAGCAAUAGGGAAUCUUCCGCAAUGGGCGAAAGCCUGACGGAGCAACGCCGCGUGAGUGAUGAAGGUCUUCGGAUCGUAAAACUCUGUUAUUAGGGAAGAACAUAUGUGUAAGUAACUGUGCACAUCUUGACGGUACCUAAUCAGAAAGCCACGGCUAACUACGUG
rnacentral:rRNA from 1 species